CCCGGCGCGGCCCGGCCCCUUCCGGCACGGCCCCCCCGCCGCCAUGGCUCCCUCAGGGGAGCGGGCGGUUUCUUUGCCUGAGGCGAGGCCCUGGCAGUGAGGAGCACAGAGCAAAAAGGGAAGUCUGUAGAAAAGUGACUGUGUCAGUGAAAGCGUGGAGAUGAAGGACACAAAGGGAAUCCAGAAAAGGCACUGGGAAGUGUCAGCCUUUGAAUUGUUUAACCUACGUCCUCACAGCAAAUGUCUGAGUUAACUGCCAAGUGAAAGCAUCACCACCCAACUUGGUACAGAAGUCCUGCGGUGGACACCUUGAGUUUGGACAUGACAAAGCUACAGUGCGUGAGAACAGCAUUUCAAACCACUAGCCCAACAGCCACGGCAACAGCUCCAUUUAGCCAUAGGUCCGCAGAUGUCAAGGUAGCCAAUUACAGCUGAACCAGAGUGGAUUCAAUUGCACAUCAUGACACUGCAGUACUGAAUUAAGCAUCUCAUUUAAGGAAUAUUUUUAUGCAGAAGUCUGAAAGUCACCGCUGGCUCUGCUGAAGCUGAAAAAUGAAGUGUGAUGAUGGUCUUGUUUGGGCAACGCUGUGAUAUAUAAGGAUAUAGUAAAGUAAUCUAAUCUC